UGAGUAACACGUGGAUAUCUGCCUUUUGGUUCGGAAUAACCCUGGGAAACUAGGGCUAAUACCGAAUGGUUCCUACGGGAUAAAGAUUUAUCGCCAAAAGAUGAGUCCGCGUACGAUUAGCUAGUUGGUGAGGUAAUGGCUCACCAAGGCGACGAUCGUUAGCUGGUCUGAGAGGACGAUCAGCCACACUGGGACUGAGACACGGCCCAGACUCCUACGGGAGGCAGCAGUGGGGAAUAUUGGACAAUGGGGGCAACCCUGAUCCAGCCAUGCCGCGUGAGUGAUGAAGGCCUUCGGGUUGUAAAGCUCUUUUGGCGGGGACGAUGAUGACGGUACCCGCAGAAUAAGCCCCGGCUAACUUCGUGCCAGCAGCCGCGGUAAGACGAAGGGGGCUAGCGUUGUUCGGAAUUACUGGGCGUAAAGCGAGUGUAGGCGGUUGUCAUAGUCAGGCGUGAAAGCCUUGAGCUUAACUCAAGAAAUGCGCUUGAUACUGGAUGACUAGAGGACCGGAGAGGAUAGUGGAAUUCCCAGUGUAGUGGUGAAAUACGUAGAGAUUGGGAAGAACACCAGUGGCGAAGGCGGCUAUCUGGACGGUACUGACG
rnacentral:rRNA from 1 species